CGGACUAAUAAUGUCUUAGUCCGUGUGUAAUCGUGAUUUUCAUACAACUACAAGUCUACAACUUACUGCUGGUACAACUCAUAGAUAAUGUAAGAUUUAAGAAAAGAAAUUUAACGAUACUUUUUUAAUGUUAUAUGGCCGAAUAUGGGGCCAAUAUUGAUAUGAUAAUAAAUGACAUUAAUGAUUAAUUAGUAAAAAUUAACGAUCUAUAAUAUUCUAUAUUCUAAUUAAAAUUAAUUAUGUACGCAAAGUUUAGAGUGAUUCGAGUAUUCCAAAUACCAAUAUCAGACACAACAAUCAAAAUACAAAUUUGAAAUUGACAAAUAUUGCAAACAGUUUUUGGACAUAACCUUAAAAAAAGCCCCAUAUUGUCUUUCUCUCUUUACGUUCUCUAUUCCCCAAAAAAGCACACGGCCCUAUAUGAAAUUAUGAAACUGGUAAAGGCAUGUCCAUCCAUCACAGUUUAAGAUAUAUGUAUGUAUAUCUUAAACCGUGCUAUCCAUUUUUUUAUUAUCUAUGAUACAAUUAUUUAAGUCAAAUAUAUAUCAACUCGUUCGUUAUACGAAUACCAUUUUUAUACCAUUUUUGAUCGCGAUUAAGAUAUUUUUUAGUCGUAUUUUGACGGCAUUUAAUGCAGUAAUUAUCCGCCAGGAGCGCUAGGAAGGCCGAUUAUUGUAGCAUUACGAAUUUAGAAAUGAAUGUAGUUUACUUUUCCUAAAUGAUUUUUAGAAAUAUUAGUAUUUAUAUGCUCAACUUGUAGGUGGAAUCAGAAUUUACCUAUCUUACUUACUUUUUAUGUUAUUAAUAAUAAACCACAUAAAAAUUAAUUGUAGGUGUUGCGUGGUUUAUUAACAGUAACGAAAAAAGUAAGUUACAUAGGUACAUUCUGAUUCCACCAACUCGCAUAAAAAUAUCAACAUUUCAUAAGAAAAAAUUCCUUAAAAUGAAAAUUCCUAGUAUUUUAAACUCAAAAACAAGAUUUUUCCAAAAAUCAAGCAUUUAAAGUUUUUUGAAUAUAAUUAAAUUAAACUUGAGCGAAUUUUUUUUAAGUACCAUCAAAUUGAGCAUGCAAAACACACUUUGAAAAAAAAAAUCCAAAAUUCUUUUUGUGGCUAAACUGCAUUUAUGCCAAACUUAAUGUUGUACUUUUGGAUUUAAAUCACGAUAUUUUUGUGUACCUACUCUGAAAUAUUAGAUCACCUAUAAACUGUAAUAAUGAUUAUUUAAUUAAUCAUAUUAAAGACAAUAAUAAAAUUGUUAAUCAAUGUGCCAUUACUAUGUCCAUUUGUUCACACUAUUUAAACUGAACUUGGAUUCUCAAAUUAACUCAUAUGAGUUAAUUAUUAAUUAAUAUAGAAAUAAAAUGUUGACUAUAACUUACAAUAAAGUUUGAGCAAAGAAAAAUUUGGUAUUUCAUUUUGAUAUUAAUUUUCCUUUUAUAAUAUAACAUUGUAACCUAUACCUUAUACCUAUCAAAGUGUAUAGUAUAAUACUAUAAUAUACUAAAAAAGUAUGUAAAUAAUGUGUUACAUGCCUACAAUAAUGAAUAAAUAUUGAAAUAUCAAUAGUACCAAAAGAAUAGGGAUAGAGUAUUAUUCAAAAUGUGUGUUUUUGCAUGUAUUCUUUACAUUGUGCUCAAAACAUUGAAAUUUGCAUGGCUGUUGUAUUGGCUGUAGUCGGCUAUCUAUACUGGCAGUGAUGAACUUAGGAAAAAACAGAUAAAUCAAGGCAUAAAAGAAGGUGCAGUUAAGAAAUUGAUUCUUGAUGUGAGUACCCGUUGGAACAGUGUAUUUUACAUGCUUCAAAGAUUUAUCGAUAUGUCUAAAAUUAUUGCGGAUAUAAUGCUGACACGUCCAAACGGUCCAGAAAUUAUAACAGCAAGACAACUGCAAGAAAUACACGAUAUCAUAUUGGUUUUGCGUCCUCUGGAAAUGGUCACAACUGAGAUGUCAGCAGAGAAUUAUGUAACUAUUAGUAAGGUCUUACCCAUUGUUAGUUGUUUUGACUAAUGGUGUAAGUUCACAACUACCUAAGAGCGAAUUAGGGAAAAGUUAUAAAAUUGCUGUCAUUGUCCAAUUGAAUAGGCGAUUUGGUAAUAUUGAAAUGUUUAACAUAUGUUCUUUGGCCACAUUGUUGGAUCCACGUUUUAAAAAUCUGUAUUUCAAGGUUAGUUAGGUUGUCGACGCAAAUGCUAUAAAGGAAAUGGUUUUCAACAACCGCAUGACAUUAUCCUCUGCUUCUUGCUUCUUCAGAGGAAGAAACCAAUGAAAGUACCAAAGUAUUUAACCUCUGGGAAUACCACCAAGAGCUAGCACAUAAACGAUCUAGUUCAAGAGCAUUUAGCAGCAAGAAAACUAAUACCCAUUCACCAUCGGAUCUACUAGUACUUAAUUAUCUAUCAGCACCAGUCACUCCGUUGAAGCAAAAUCCAUUAGAAGUGUGGGAAGACAUGAAAUCGGUUUAUCCAUUGAUUUAUAUGGAAGCACAAAAAGUAUUUUGUAUUGUUGCGACAUUUGUUCCUUCUGAAAGGCUAUUCUCCAAAGCUGGAGCUACUCUUUCCAAAGAAAGAAAUAGAUUAUUGGGAAAAAGACUUUUUAAGCUGUUAUUCCUGGGGUCCAUUGAUGACCGUUAUUGGCUUGAUAAUGUAUAACUUUUUAUUAUUUUAGUUAUUAUAAAAAAUCAAUUAAAAAUGUACAUGUUUAUGUAUUAAUAUUUAUAUUGUUUUA